rnacentral:lncRNA from 1 species
AUUUGAUGACUCGUGUACAAGCUGCAGUUCAAAAGUUUUUCAAGUUCGAAUUCGAAUUUGUGAGCAAAAUCAAUUUGAAGUCGGGCAAAAUUUGAAACUGCUUUGAACUGAAAUGUUGAGGAGAGUGUAAUGGCCCACCUGCACAGGGAUGCUCUGCCACACGACCGGCGAUCUCCGGCCAACGGCCGUGCUAGCCCAACCGGCGAGCAGCAAGCCCGGGAUCUUGCUUGCCCUCGUCCGUGCUCCUCCUCCUUUAAGCCCUGAUGCCUCCCUGCCCUCUCCCUCAUUCCUUC